UUACUAAAGAUACUCGACAAUUGGUACAUCAUGUACAGAAAUUUUUAUCUUUGUACAAACAUGUACACCGACUAAGCAAACUGGACUAUGCAACUACUUCUACAUCUUCAAAAAGGUUUAAAUGCUAAAAACUGGAGAAGAAAAAAGUGGUAUAUCUUCCAGCAAGCUUCAGAUAACACCACAUGUACUUCUGGAGGGUCGAGUAUAAUGGAGCUGAUCCUCGGUCAAACAAAUAUACAACCUUUGCAUACAUGGAUAUUCAAUGGAAAACAGUUAACAACAUAAGUUAGACUUGAUUCAAGAAACAUUGAUUAAUUGUAAAUUAGCUAAUAUCAAGCUAUAUAUACAGAAAAUACUGAACUGGGUACUAUGAGAAAAGAAACAGAAGAAAAAUCUUAAAAAUUGUUUACACUAGCAGCUAUAAGAGCAACCUGAUCCGCAGACUUUGUUAAGGUGUUUAAGAAUAAAAAAUUAAUUAGGUGUGAUUGGAUGAGACAAAGUGCUUCUCAUCUGGUACUACAAUCAAUUUGGCCGGCCGGUGAUGGCUUCACUUAAACAGAGAACUGGACAAUAUACUGAAUAUACUGCCGAACAUACUCACUUGAUUUACUAGAUUUUGCACUAACGGGAUGAUGAAUGGGUCUCAUAUCCUCAGUUACUCACAAAACUUGAGAUGAGUAUAACAAUUAGUAGUUGGUAUCGCUAAUACAUUAACCCCUUAAUUAUUAGAAGAAGAAAAUGCAGAAAAUACUGCACGAAACCAAGUCGUACAACUCGUACCAGAUCUAUGAUGGUUUCUGCACUGUUGCCUAAAAGACAGGUUUAGAAGAAGAAGAGGGGCUAGAAUCAAUGCCGCUCGAGGAGAGGAAUUGUGGAUAUGAGGAAUUUUGUAUCAAGAUGAUAGCGAGACAAAUCGAUGAGGUAUCUAACCAGUGAUUUGUGGACUCCAAAGCUGCUUGCGGUUGGAGAACUUGGAGUAGACUUUUACAUCAAGCAGUAAGAACUGGGUUCCAUUGUUCUCAUGGAUGGCACUCUGUUGUUGGAGAGGCGGAAGGCAGUGGUUGCCUAAUUCCAGCCACCUAGAAACCGGCAGAAACUGAGAGUUAAGUGCCUUGUACAAGAUCUGAUCUUGAAAGAUACCUGGCAGUCAGGCCGCCGUUGUCCGGUGCUAAGAUGAUCCGCAGCCAACGGAGGCUG
rnacentral:lncRNA from 1 species